GAUGAACGCUGGCGGCGUGCCUAACACAUGCAAGUCGAACGGAAGGACGAUAAGUUUGCGUCGUUGAGGUUAGCGGCAGGCGGGUGUGUAACACGUGUAUAACCCACUUAUAUGUCUGGGAUAAUUACGGGAAACCGGAUCUAAUACCGGAGGAGAUUCUGAACCGGAGGGUGCAUAGGAGAUAGACGGCCUUGGUGUCUCUAAUAGAUGGUUCCGCGCUGCAUUAGCUAGUUGGUAAGGUAACGGCUUACCAAGGCUACGAUGCAUAGCCGACCUGACAGGGUGAUCGGCCACACUGGAACUGAGACACGGUCCAGACUCCUACGGGAGGCAGCAGUCGGGAAUCUUCGGCAAUGGGCGGAAGCCUGACGCAGCCAGGCCGCGUGUGUGAUGAAGGCCUUCGGUUCGUAAAGCUCUGUUAUUAGGGAAGAACAGCUGUGUACUUAGACGUGGCCAUCUUGACGGUACCUAAUCAAGAAGCACCGGCUAACUACGUG
rnacentral:rRNA from 1 species